AAAGACUUGAACAAAUGGCGGAUUUGAUCUCGUUAAUGCCAUCUAAAAAUUGAUUUUUCACAAUAUUUCGCACAGAAAAGGAUCUUGGAAUGACUAAAACCGCCAUUUCAUGGAAGUAUAUAUUAGCAGAAUUGUUUGUGGAAGACAGAACAGAACUUGCAAUAGUCUCAGAGCGGUGGACCAUUGAUGAGAAUGUUCUUAAGUAUCCGUCCAACUUGAAGGGACCAAAAAGGAUGAAGAGCAUAAUGGAUCAUGUUAUACCAGAAGAUUCCUGGACCGAGUAUGAAUACAGGAGGAUUAGAGUCUGUGUCUCAGAGAGGUGGCCAUUGCUUAGGAUGUUCUCAAGUAUCCGUCCCACUUGAAGGGACAAAAAAGAAUGGAGAGCAUCAUGGAUCAUGUAAUACCAGAAUAUAUACCUGGACCGAGUAUCAAUACAGGAAGGAGGCUUAGAGUCAUUGUCUCAGAGAGGUGGCCAUUGCUUAGGAUGUUCUCAAGUAUCCGUCCCACUUGAAGGGACAAAAAAGGAUGAAUAGCAUCAUGGAUCAUGUAAUACCAGAAGAUACCUGGACAGAGUAUCAAUACAGAAGGCUUAGUCUUUGGUUACUGGAAUCAGGCAAAAGAAAUGGAUCAACGUGCAGCUGAAAAUGAAUCUGACGGCUUGAAAACAACUCAUGAAACAAGGAAGAAGAGUUUGUCGAGAAAACCUGCAAUUUACUUUCCCAGUUCUUUUUUCCUUGGAAAUUGCAAAAGAACACAUUCUUCAUCAUCCAACGAGAAUUCAAGAGCCAUUGAUCCAAUUUCUCCAGUGAUUUAAUUGUUAACUCAAUAUGCAACUGUUGUGUUCAAUUCUGACUUAGUGUUAUCAUGUAUGUCAUGUGUUAACUAAUAUGUCAUGUGUUCUAAUGGACAAUAUAAUCAAGUUAAGUGCA